ensembl:lncRNA
CAAGGGGACAUAAUUAAAUGAUUUCCUUGUGAUAUUCAUUACUGCCAAAGUUUUUGCAGAGCAGGCAACACUAGUUGAUGAGUAGAGUUGAGUAGAGUGGUCACCUGAAAGAACAACAUAAAGACAGGUUGAGAAAAGCACUGCAGAAAUCACAUCAGUGACACGCUCAGUCCCUUGAGUGUAGGCAUCCUGUGUCGCCGCAGUCUUUUUGGUCAGGUGUGUUUCCACCUGUACUGGCUGUGGUGAAACUCAGUCUGUAGAAUUACUUGAUGUAUCAGGUCCGUUGAGUUGAUCAAGCAUGAGUUGAAAGUGUCCUUCUACUCUGGGGAAACAUCUGUGUCCAGUGCCGUCCUCCCCAGGAUGUUUUUCUGACCUGCUGAGAAGCUUUCUGUCACCUUCAGGCAGAAGGUGGGAUUGCAGGGUUUGUCAGAUCUCCAUAGGUGAAGAAAUAAUUUCACUGAUGAUGCUCCAAUGUGUGCAAGACAUCUAAACAACUUCUGAAUGACCAUGCAAUAACUGUACACUGAUGACUUUGGUGAUGUUGUGGGAUGAGAAAAGAGGUUAUAAAAUAAACAAAAAUACACAAAGGAACGAUCAUGUCAAAAGUGCGAGUGGUAAAUAAGGUCUCCAUUUUUCAGAGUCAAAUAUUCAGUAAAUAGGUCUAAUUUGAUAGCCAAAUUGUUUACUACCACUAGGUAUUUGGUCUGAAUGAAUAAAAGGGAAGUAGCAAAAUCAAUAUAACCGGUAUAUUUACCAGUGGUAUUCAUAAUUAAACAUAUCACAUAAUUAAACAUAGAAAUACACAAUUUCAUAAUUACCAUCAUAAAAUUGCCUAUAGUGAUUGUUUUAAUAGCAAAACAUUAAUGCAGACCUAAAGUUUCAUCAAGGUCAAUCAGAGAAUGAAAUGAACAGAAAAAGAGAUUUAAAACCUGUAGUUAAACCAUUUUCAAUCAUUCUCUGUGCAUUUGAUGUGCAGGCUGGUCACACUUGAUAAUGCAGGUCUGAUUAGAAAUGAUCAGAUCCUAUUUAUUUAGGUAAAUUUGUGCGGUCAUUAGACAUAUGUUGUAAACUAGUGGGCCCCCUAGUUUGCAACAAUGCUAAUGAUUGGACAUGAAAAAUAUUCUGUCCUAAGAGACCAAUUGCAUUACUGAAUAGGUCUCAUUUUAGAAUUUGUAAUAGAAUUUGAAUUAAUUGAUAUGUGACUGUAGCCAUGCAAGUCCUAUGCACAUUACAGUGUUUACAUACAGUAAGUUCAUAAGACCAUAAAAAUUGCACAAAAUUUUUAAAAUUGCAAAAAUGUUUGCCAUAAUUGAAAUUAAAAAAUAAUUUAUUUUGACCUAUAUGUAUGAGGUGAAUAAUGUGUGAUCAAUUUGAAUGAUGUGAGUAAUUUAGACCUGGAUGUCCGUAUGCUCAAUACCAGGUACGUGUAUUGUGUAGUUGCAAUAAUGAAAGUGUGUUUUGUAUGUUUGUAUGUAUGUAUGUGUAUAGGAGAUGGGUGAUGUCUAGUCUACCAUAAUUUGUGUUGUAUAAUUUAGUUCCAGUGCUACACUGGGAGGUCAUGUAAUUACUUGUACAGUGCUAAGGUGUGAAUGACCACUUGUAGUAUCUCCACACCCAUCUCCUUGUUGUGUGUGCAAGUUGGUGUAGGUGGGACCAGAUGUCCUUGUGGAAUUUUUCCCUCAGAGAUGGCAGCAGUAAACCUGAAAGAAAAACAGCUUAGUCUUGAACCUUUUUACGAGUUGCUUGAAGACUGGUGGAUCUUAAUUUUCCUGUAAUGGCCAC